AUCACCAACACAUCUCAAAUAAAUGAGAUUUAUUGAAAACAAAACUAAUUUAUGAAAAAAAAACAAAACGUAGCAAAGGAGCGCCGAUGGCAAAGCUGACCACCAUCGCUGUGAAAGCCGAAUGAUGUCGGACAAGAGCUGGCCAACACCGAAAAGAAAUGGUAGUUGCCAGAUGAUAAUCCUUAAUGGGAGACGGAAGCCGGAAAGAAUUCCGGACGGCAAAGUAGUUUUCAGCUUUCUCUCUUUUUGACAAAAUUUAGAG
rnacentral:lncRNA from 1 species